rnacentral:rRNA from 1 species
UACAGAGGGUGCAAGCGUUAAUCGGAGUUACUGGGCGUAAAGGGCGCGUAGGCGGUUAUUUAAGUUUCAUGUGAAAUCCCUGGGCUUAACCUAGGAACUGCAUGAGAUACUGAAUAGCUAGAGUACUGUAGAGGGUAGUGGAAUUUCCGGUGUAGCGGUGAAAUGCGUAGAGAUCGGAAGGAACACCAGUGGCGAAGGCGGCUACCUGGACAGAUACUGACGCUGAGGCGCGAGAGCGUGGGGAGCAAACAGG